CCAAAAGGACUCAAAGCCUAGCUGUUUUUUUCUGUGGUUAAGGGUUGCCUGGGUAGAAUCCCUGCCCCCCUUUCACAGAUAUAAUACUGUUAUAUAUAUGUAUAAGAGAGUUUAUUACUCUAAAUGGAAACACCACUGUGAGAGUUUUCUGCCACAGACGGAAGCAUCAUUUAUUCUUUGUUCACACCUAACAUAAAAAUCCAACAUCAAGAUCCAAUUAGUACCUCCAGAGGCAGAGGAGAGAGGAUGAAGGGACAGCAGAAGAUGUGAAAGGAUGAUGGAGACGCUGAUUCAGCUUUACUCGUCUGUGUCCGUGAUCAAAAAAAGAAGUGGCUUGCAACAGCUUCCCUGACUGGUUGACUACAGGUAAUCUCAAGACCUCCAUGCUGCUGCCUGCCCUACCAGGGGGUGAACUGCAUGUGCCCCUCUGCCAUCAUGGCUGACUGCUGGUGAUGGUUCCUACAGAUGGCCUGCUGCCUGAAGAUGCAUGGAAGUGGCAGCGACAGUCACAAGGAUAUGAUAUUGAUGUAUCAUCAGAGCUCCUCAUCAACAGCUUCAGGACAGCAGCAACAACAACAACAGAAGGACAGAGGAGAAGAGUCAGCUGGAGCACCGUGGCGAACACACCAAACCAUUUUCCGAGAGAGUUCUUUCUC